AGAGUUUGAUCCUGGCUCAGGAUGAACGUUGGCGGUGUGCCUAAUACAUGCAAGUCGAACGGUGACGAUUUUGUAGCAAUACGAAUGAAAUCAUAGUGGCGAACGGGUGAGUAACGCGUUGGUGAUCUGCCUCGAAGUGUGGAAUAACUUCCCGAAAGGGUAGCUAAUACCGCAUAGUCUCUCAAGGUUUAGAAAAUUGAGAGUAAAGGAUUUAUUCGCUUCGAGAGGAGCCUGCGUCCCAUCAGCUAGUUGGUAGGGUAAUAGCCUACCAAGGCAAUGACGGGUAGGGGACCUGAGAGGGUGGCCCCCCACAAUGGAACUGAAACACGGUCCAUACACCUACGGGUGGCAGCAGUAGGGAAUAUUAGAAAUGGGCGAAAGCCUGAUCUAGCAACACCGCGUGUGCGAUGAAGGCCUUCGGGUUGUAAAGCACUUUUUGGAGGGGAUAGGAAGGAAGGUACCUCCAGAAUAAAUCUCGGCUAACUACGUGCCCAGCAGCCGCGGUAACACGUAGGAGGCAAACCGUUAUCCGGAUUCACUGGGCGUAAAGCGCGUGUAGGUGGUUCUGUAAGUAGGGCGUGAAAGCUCCCGGCUCAACUGGGAGAGGCCGUACUAAACUGCAGAGCUAGAGGAUGGUAGAGGGAGGUGGAAUUCCAGGUGUAGUGGUGAAAUGCGCAGAUAUCUGGAGGAACACCAGUGGCGAAGGCGGCCUCCUGGACCAUUCCUGACACUCAGACGCGAAAGCUAGGGUAGCAAACGGAAUUAGAGACUCCGGUAGUCCUAGCCCUAAACGAUGCAGACUAGGCGUCGGCGGUUUAAUCACCGUCGGUGUCCAAGCUAACGCGAUAAGUCUGCCGCCUGAGGAGUACGGCCGCAAGGCUAAAACUCAAAGGAAUUGACGGGUCCCCGCACAAGCAGCGGAGCGUGUGGUUUAAUUUGAUGCUCCGCGAAGAACCUUACCUGGGUUUGACAUAACAGUGGUAGAGAAGUGAAAACGGAUCGACCCUUCGGGGAGCUGUUACAGGUGUUGCAUGCCUGUCGUCAGCUCGUGUCGUGAGAUGUUCGGUUAAGUCCGCUAACGAGCGCAACCCGCGCUGUGUGUUACAAGUGUCACACAGUACCGCCGGUAUUAAGUCGGAGGAAGGUGCGGAUGACGUCAAGUCAGCAUGACCUUUAUAUCCAGGGCUACACACACGCUACAAUGGUCAGAACAAUAGGUUGCCAAGCCGCAAGGCGGAGCCAAUCCUCCAAAUCUGGCCUCAGUUCAGAUUGCAGGCUGCAACUCGCCUGCAUGAAGUCGGAGUUGCUAGUAACCGCAGGUCAGCAUACUGCGGUGAAUACGUUCCCGGGGAUUGUACACACCGCCCGUCA
rnacentral:rRNA from 1 species